rnacentral:lncRNA from 1 species
AUAUUUCCCAGAGCUGCAUCUCCUCCCUCUCCCUGCUUAACUGUUUCUACACCAAUGGUGUUUUUUUUUUCCCACAGAAGGGCGUAUUCAGAUUCCUAAAGAAGGCUUUGAAAGGGAUCCAGAGAGGCAAUCACAUGCAUGUGCAGCUAUUUUUUUCAUCCGGCAAGAAUAUAUGGAAUGUGAAUGGAGUUUCAGCAUAGCUCUGUGAGUCUCAUCCAGUGAGACAAAAGUACCAUGCGAACUUAGUGACUACUGGUUGGGAGACUGACCCAGCAGCCUUGCAAAAACUAUGCUGCUUAUGCCAACAGUUCUCAGACUGCAGAUCCAUACACUGUACCUACAAAUGCGGGUUACAAUUGCAGCAACUCAGAUCGAUUAUUGGAUAAGAGAAGCAAAUACAUUCACUGGACACAUUCUUUGCUGUGAAAAAAACACAACUAUUUGUAAUUUAUUGCUUACACAGUUGUUUUAAGAUGAAACAUUUACCUUCUGUUAUUUUUGUUUCUGUAAUUGUAUUUCCAGGUUUACUUUCUGGGGUUGCCCUCUAUGCCUGUAUUCGAGGGCCUAACUAGAAUAUUAUAAUUCUUAUAGAAAUUUUACUAGUUACUUCUCCUUAACUGAAUUUUAGUUUUGAAUCUGAGACUUCAACUGUAAAGAAUAUAUAUAGACAGGAAAAAAAAAGUUACUGGGAGCAAAAACAUGCUCGUUGUUUUUAUGCCUCUCUCUGAAGGACAUAUAUGCUUAGUAUUUAGAAAAGUACACUAAUGUUAUUGUUGUUUGAAGUGUGUUUACUUGAUGUAGUUCGUAGGGCUGCAAGGUAAAGCAAGACCCAUUCAUGUUUGCUUGAUUUUUUUCAGUUUGGCAUGACACAGAAUUGCUGGGUUUGUGCUAUCUUUAUUUAAACUUUGUUCCUCUGUGAGGGGCUGUGGCUUCUGUAUUUCUCAGCAUCAUUGUACCCCAAGGGUGACAUAUCUCUCUGAUUCUUAAAAUGCUGUAUUUCAGGUGUUAUAUCCCACCUCUGAAUACCAGCUUGCUAAGGAAAAUAUAGCUGUAUUUUCCAGAAGGAACUGAAGUUGCAUCAGGUUGAUUUUCACCCUCUAAGUUACUUAGGCACAGUAUGGCAUUGUACAAACUGAAAACAAAUGGCAAAAUCCUGCCUGCUACUAAAGAGAUAUCAUUGAGAAGGAAAAACAACAACAACCAAAAACAACAACAACAACAACAACAAAUAAGUCCGAACCCUUUCAAAUUGCUUUCAUAGAUAUCUCGAAGGCAAGGUUUUUAUUCCCAGUGGCAGUAAAAUGAAAUGUUUCCAAGAAGCAUGACAUACAGAUAAUUUGCCCUUUGCUUUGUAGUUCAAGUAUAUAAAAUGAACAGUUUACAAUUUCUUGGUCUCAUCUGGUUUAUAGAACGUUGGUUAAACAUUUUUAAUGUUUGCUUCUAUUUAUAUAUAAUUUUCUUUUUCUAGUUUUAGCUCUUUUAGUGUGCAUUCUAGGCUCAAAUUUCUAAACAGUAUGGGACAAUCUGUCUUCACAUUAGGGAUUUUUUUUAAUGGAGUUUUUUUUAGUCUGUAUUUCCCUUGAGACUGGCUUUUUUGUUUGUUUGUUUUAUUGUUGUUGUUUUAUGUGCUCUAGGUUGAACUAUAGCGAGUAAGCAAAGGAUCAAUAUUGGCAGCAGCACUUCAGAGACAGCGUAUGUCUCUACAAAACGUUGCAAAGUUCUGGGUGGGAUCCUACUGCCUGUAUGCAUAAAUGGCUGGGGAAAUCUGAAGAGAGAAAACACAGAACUGUAAGAAAAUUGGAGAGUUGUAAGAAGACUGGAGAUGAUCUUUAACCUGAGUUGCUUAAAAAACAUCUGUAGAGAUCCUAAUGGGUCUCAUUCUCCAAAGCUGAGGGCUGAGAAAGCUGCAUGGGUCAGGUUCUUCCAUGCUUGGUUGAGUGCUCGAGUGAAUACUUGCCCAAGAGAUAUUUGUCCCUCUUCAAAAUAGCUAGCUCAGUCUUUAACCUUUAUUUUCAACCAUAGUUCUACAAUUCCUCUGCUGUAAUGAAGUGAUGCUACUUUUCACUAUGAGCAAUACAAUGAAUUAGCUGAUCUGUCACAUUUAAUAUCUUUUGGUAGAUAUGUGUCGGUGAGAAAUACCGUAUGCAUUAUAUACCUCUAUACACAUAUCUCCAUGUACAUAUAUUAAAAUAUAGAGAUAAAAUUUGUAUACUUAUUUACAUUCAAAAAAUGAACACUGGUGAAAUUCUUUACAGUAAAUAAAGUGUAUAAUGAUG